AGUUCACAUAGACCAGGCUUCCUCUUUAGAGGCAUAAGCUGUAAAACAGGAGAGUCUGUUUUAAGAGGAUCUGUUUGAAGUUUAAUGUAACUGAAGUCCAUGCACCUGAAGCCAUUAAUUGAUAUAAGUGAAGUAAGUCUUUGGGUUUCCGGUAGCUCUGACUCAGAUUCUGCUUGCCUCUUCUCCAUGAGAUUACCAAGGCAUCAGGGCAGAGACUCCCUGAGGCUAUGCUAGAAGGGUACCAUUUGAAAAGGAAGUGUAUGACCCACCGUGAAAUGGAACUGGUAGCUGGUCACCCAGGUGCUCUUCCUUGUUAACUGAUGAGAGCGAUUAUUAUGUGAGAACUUUAACAACCUGCCAAAGGAUCCCGGGGCAAGAAUGAGAGCUGAACCAUUGAAAAGCUGAGCAUCGAAGUGCCUGGGAAGCCCAAAACUCAGCACAUUCAUGCUUUUGCUGGUUUUUGACCAUUGAGAAGAAAAAAGAGUCAGCAACCAGGGAGCAGCCUCUUCUAAAAUGGUGUGUUUAUUAUGAAGUGUUCUUGGAAGUUUUCUUAUGUCAUCUGAAUCAAUAUAAUAUCAGACCUAUCAAGAUCUAUUUUUAAAGGAAAUUCUCUACAAUCUCUUCCCACAAGACUGGAGGAAACCAGGAUGUCAUUACCGUAGGCACAUGGCUGAGAUUCCCAAGAAGGAUGAGUGGAUCUGGUUCAGAACAUCUGUGAACACAGAGGGAGUGGAAACUUCACUUUCAACAUCAUCAGCCAACUUCCCUCCCAUUACAAUUCUAUCUCAAGAUCAAGGUCAUGCAACAAAA
rnacentral:lncRNA from 1 species